AUCACUACAUAAAAGCCGGACGCAGUGAUAUACAGUGACAUA
rnacentral:guide_RNA from 1 species